UAGCUACAGUAUUUAGCGAAAAAUGAGGACA
rnacentral:piRNA from 1 species